rnacentral:miRNA from 1 species
UGUGAUUUCAAAUGGACUCCAGA